rnacentral:lncRNA from 1 species
GAUGGGGUUUGGCAUUUGCCUCAAAAUGAAUAUGGUGCAUACAAAUGGAGGGGUCAAUUCCUUUUAAAUCGAUAAUGGACCAACCGAUAGCCUCUUUGUGUUCCUUCAAAAUACCAACCAAUUGUGUUUCCUGAUUAGGGGUCAAGUCUGAUGCAAUGAUUGCCAGGAGGGUGUCAUUAGGUCCUAGAAAUACAUACUUGAGCGUAGUAGGAAGGAGUUUCAAUUCUAACGUAGGUGGUGAUUCUAAAGAUGGGACUAUUGGUGUACUGGCUAAUGUGGGCAAUGGCUCAUACUUGAUUGUCUAUGGAGGAGUGGUUUUAUCGUGUGGUGUAUCCAACAAGGUGUUAACUUCUUUCAUAUAUCCCUCAAAGUCAUACACUCCAAAGUGAGCCAAGCAAGUAUCUAAGGGGUCUGGUGCUAAAAUUAUGGGUGUUGCAUCUUCUAUAAUAUCUUCUAGUGUAUCUACUUUGAAGCAACUAUCCAUUGAUGAUCCUUGGGAAGCACCAAACACAUUCAGUCUCAGUUUCUUAU